GCCCAAUGUUAAUCUAAACAGAGGCAUGAUCCUUUGAGGUAAUCAGCCUAAUCGUUGCAGAGCAUUUCCUGAGAAUGUAAAGAUCCAUGUUUUGUCCCUCAUCAUUCUGCAUCUCGAUAAGCUUUCUUAAGCCUCAACAAACAACGAGCAUUAAUAUGUCGCCGGAAAAAAAGUUGCAGGGCAGAUGGAGAGCUUCGUCUAGGGAAAGA